UCCUACGGGAGGCAGCAGCAAGGAAUAUUGCGCAAUGGGCGAAAGCCUGACGCAGCGACGCCGCGUGGGGGAAGAAGGCUCUCGGGUCGUAAACCCCUUUUCUCAGGGAAGAAUAAUGACGGUACCUGAGGAAUAAGUCACGGCUAACUACGUGCCAGCAGCCGCGGUAAUACGUAGGCGGCGAGCGUUAUCCGGAUUUAUUGGGCGUGCAGAGGGUGUAGGCGGCUUCGCAAGUCGGGCGUGAAAUCUCUCGGCCUAACUGAGAGAGGUCGUCCGAUACUGCGGGGCUAGAGGACAGCAGAGGGAGGUGGAAUUCCCGGUGUAGUGGUGAAAUGCGUAGAUAUCGGGAGGAACACCAGUGGCGAAAGCGGCCUCCUGGGCUGUCCCUGACGCUGAGGCCCGAAGGCGCGGGGAGCAAACAGGAUUAGAUACCCCGGU
rnacentral:rRNA from 1 species